ACUCACGAUUACGGUGUGAAGAUGCGCAGUGUCGUCAAGUUCUUGGAAGGCGGCGACAAGGUGAAAAUCACCAUGCGUUUUCGUGGCCGCGAAAUGGCGCACCAGGACUUGGGUCGCAACCUGCUUGAGCGCGUUGCAGAAGACACCAAAGAGAUCGGCAAGAUAGAAAACAUGCCGAAAAUGGAAGGUCGCCAGAUGAUCAUGAUGAUCGGCCCUCUUCCGAAAUAAACACGCCGCAGGGCCGACAAACGGCCCGCAGCACCAGACGCCGAGUCUGACAGGGUACCCCCGAAGCCUCACGGUUUCGGGGGU
rnacentral:misc_RNA from 1 species